UGAGGCCGGUAUGCGUAGGGCGGUGUGCUCAGGACCAGAGGUUGACCCGGGCCCGCCCGGCUGCUGGGGUUGCACACGAGCCAACCGCAGGCCGGUCAGGACCCUCAGAUUGAUGGGCGUCCGCUCCGUCCAGGACCGGGUUGUGGGCGUUGUCUGGGGGUGCCCCUGGCCCCCGCCCCCCACAGACCCCCUCGGUGGCCUGCGGCCCUCACUCCAGUCCUGGGUGGCCAGCUGACUUCCCAGGGUUGUUAGCCCAGCCGCACACUAGUGGGGGUCACUGCGAGCCCCAGGAUGUCAUCCCGAGCCCCAGGGUGACCCCCGCCCGGUAAACCUUCCCCCCCCUCCCCCAGGUGCCACUUCCCCUGCGGUGUGGGAAGAGCUCCGUGCGGAACCCACCAUUGCGGGGCCGUGUCACCGGGCCUGAGCCCCGGAAGCUGCCCUUUUGCCUUUUUCUGGAUUAAAGUGAGUCCACACCCGCGGCCCCCGUCAGCUGGUGCUGGACACCGGGAAGCAGGGCGAGCUCCCGGGGUGGUCACUGGGGGCGGGGGUGGACGGCGCUGUGCCCCCGGGGCAGAGCCGCCCUGUCAGGUCCCAGCUCCUCCUGUCGCCUCCCCUCAUCCGCCCGGAGGGGCUUUAUUUUCUUGGGACUGUUGGACGAACGUGCGUCUCAACCUGUCACCUCCCAACCUGCUCUUGGAGCAGGAGGAGGGGAUGCGCAUGGAUACCCCACACGAGGCGUGACUGGUUCAGCGGGUUGAGCAGGUUUCAGGUCGGGCUCCUCUCCCCACUCCUCUCCCCGCCCAACAUCUUUCCCGUAAAUUCCUCAUAAACUGGUUCUUUCCUCCCCGGAAAUGCCGCCUCCUCCCUGCGUCCAGCAGACCGGCCGCGGGGGGCGGAGGGAAGGGGGGGACUGGCCCCAGGUCGCAACCCACGUCGCGAUCGAGAGCAACGGGCUGCGGAGGGAAGGCGGCCGGGAUGCGCCUGCCCAGGGUGCGAGGGAGGGCAACACUCCGAGGCGCGGUGCGUCCCAAUGGGACGUGCAUUUUAUCCAUAAACCUCAAAGACAUGAAGACAGUUAUGCUCACGGGUCAGGUUCGAGCUGCAGCCUCUUAAGUGCAGGAGACACAACUUUUGUCCCGGGCGAUCUCCCGGGCCUCACGGGUCGUGUGAAAGCAGUUGAGUCUGAGAACGAUUUGGUGAAAAGGACCUCGAGCAAAGGCGAUGGGGGCCGAGCGGGGGGCCGGGGCACGCCAGCAAGGAGGUGGCUGCGGAAGCUCUUACCCGAAAUCCCAAUCCACCCGCGUCCCCGGGGAUGCCCCCGGAAACCACAGGCGGUCGGGAUCCUGCUGUCAAGCAGCUGCGGGUCCGCGCGGUGCACACUUCCUGGCAGCCCCUCGCCCGCAUCGGUGAGAAUCAUACCGAGCAUGCGCGGAAGGUCGCCUGAAUUCCCUGGUCAGUGCCCCGGGUGCCCCGCGUGCCCUGCGUGCCCCGGGGACGAUGUGGAAGCCACGGCAAGCCUCCGACCUCAAAAUAACUGGCGGUAUUCUGGGCAGCGCUUUAUCUUGCGUGAGACCUGGUUCCUACGCUUCGUGGAAAUUAUUAUCCGGGUAGAUGGAUGAUAAGGCGGCGUUUAGAGACGCCCAAAACCACGACACGUGUGGUUUUCAGCAAGGUCCGUAGGCCAGACUUCAAGUAGAACGGGGGUGCCCUACGAUUCUCUCUGGUUUUUCCAGAAUGCUGUGGGAGGAAUUGGCCAGGGCUUUUUCCAACAGAAACUCAGGGUUGGGGUUCCCUGGGCGGCUUAGUGGUUGAGCACCUGCCUUCGGCCCAGGACGUGACCCCGGGGUCCUGGGAUCGAGUCCCUCGUCGGGCUCCCUGCAUGGAGCCUGCUUCUCCCUCCGCC
rnacentral:lncRNA from 12 species